rnacentral:rRNA from 1 species
UACGGGGGGGGUAAGCGUUGUUCGGAAUUACUGGGCGUAAAGGGCUCGUAGGCGGCCAACUAAGUCAUACGUGAAAUCCCUCAGCUUAACUGGGGAACUGCGUGUGAUACUGGAUGGCUUGGAUUUGGGAGAGGGAUGCGGAAUUCCAGGUGUAGCGGUGAAAUGCGUAGAUAUCUGGAGGAACACCGGUGGCGAAGGCGGCAUCCUGGACCAAAAUUGACGCUGAGGAGCGAAAGCCAGGGGAGCAAACGGG